GACGAACGCUGGCGGCGUGCCUAAUACAUGCAAGUCGAACGCAGUGGGGAUGGGUGAGUAACACGUGGGUAACCUACCAUCAGAGGGGAUAACAAUUGGAAACAGGUGCUAAAAGGACACUGAGGGAGGGACCCGCGGUGCAUUAGGUAGUUGGUGAGGUAACGGCUCACCAAGGCCACGAUGCAUAGCCGCCCUGAGAGGGGGAUCGGCCACACUGGGACUUAGACACGGCCCAGACUCCUACGGGAGGCAGCAGUAGGGAAUCUUCGGCAAUGGACGAAAGUCUGACCGAGCAACGCCGCGUGAGUGAAGAAGGUUUUCGGAUCGUAAAACUCUGUUGUUAGAGAAGCGGUAUCUAACCAGAAAGCCACGGCUAACUACGUGCCAGCAGCCGCGGUAAUUC
rnacentral:rRNA from 1 species